GUGAGGUCUGACAACUGAGGACUGCAUGUUGCACAAAGUGCUACCAACCAACGCAGGCCACCUUUAAGAUACUGAAGAGAUACUACGGUUUGAUCUUCUCUCCGGCUGAACUGGGAUGCUUGUGAAGUUUCUCUGCGUUUCAGCUUUGAUCCGUGUUUGAUAUUUGGCGUCUGACUGCACACUACACCCUUUUCUCAGGUGGCGCAACAUGUGACAGGCCUAAAUCCUGAUCCCAAAACCCAUCACAGACCCUGCUACACUCUCCGCUGGGAACUGUGGCUGAAAUGGACACUUGAAUUUCAGUCAUUGUUUCUGGUAGAGGGUGCAGUAGACGAUCAACUCCACGGCUGCUCCAAGGAAUGACAACACACCC